rnacentral:tRNA from 1 species
CCCCAUAGCUCAGUUGGUAGAGCAUGGUGGUUGCAACGCCAGGGUUGUGGGUUCGAUUCCCACGGGGG